UGUUUCUUUUUAUGAUUGCAGGGUUAGUACUCAUUUCACACACAUGGCUUGCUUGUUCUUAUUUCCUGCACUCGUUGGCUUGACUUCAGCUGUAUCUCAAUAGUGCUGGUGAAAAAACAGGCCCACCCCAGCAGCCCACUGUACAACUGCACACCCAGCCCCUUCCCUCUCUCUUUCUUACUCCCCUUACUGUCUCGCCUUACCCUCCUCCAAAAAGAGAGCACUUUUCUCCUGCACUCUAUGUUUUUAUUAGGUAAAGAGGCGAAGUGCAGCGUGAAAAAGGAAGCGGGGCUACACUGAGCUAUCUACUACGGGCUGUAAAAAUUUUUUGGGCUGGCCUGUGUGUUUACUCAGAGCCAUGGCCUACCGGUCCAUCUGUGUUGCUCUCUUGCUCUUUCUGAUUGGUCACAUGUUAGCAGUGCCUGAGACUGAUCCUGUAAACAGAAACACUCACAUAGCUCCCUGCCAGGAGCACAGCGAGCUUAAUGACAGACUGGAUGCAGUGGAAAAGCGGGUUGAGGAAACGGUGCAAAAGCUGGAGGCUGAGCUGGCCGUGCUGCUCGAUACCAUCCAGGCUCGUGAAUGGAGCUCCCUACUGAUCACUGACACUGCUGGACCUGCAGUAGACAUACUGGAUGAAAGCAAUGUCCCUCCACACUCUUGAGAUCAAGCAAGACAGAGAAAGAAAGUCGGCUUGCCUGCUACUCCUAUACUGCUGCUCCGAACCACACAGACCAGACUGGUUGUGAUCAGGUGGGCAGAUUCACUGCUGUGGCUUCCAGACUCUGCUUCUCCAGUCUACAGUCUUCUUUCAAGACCAAACUAGAAUCCAAGGAUAUACGCUUUCUUUCAAUACCUCUCCUCUUGCUAGCUUUUCUUUUCUUUUUUUUUAAAUAGAAUUUUAAAGUGACCUUCAGCAUUAGGAUUAUGCUUUAUGAAUACAAAUUGUUAUAACAUACAGAGUGUACUAACAUAAUGCUCUGAAAAAAAAAGAAAAAAAAAAAAGGAAGCAAUGUUCCAGGAUAACCGAAGACACACUCUUACAGUUUAAUCAGAUUUCUCAAGUUGCAUGUUGAUUCCUUAUGAACAGACAGAGCCAGUGCCCUUAAACAUUUUAUUAUUAUUAUUAUUUUCAGUAUCAUUAAAACAAACUAUGGGAUGCCAAAAUUUAAACAGAGUCUAUUGAUACAUAUCAUGCCAUCCACAAUUAUUUGAAGACGAUGCUUUGCUUUGUAGAGUCGAACAUCUUCAGCUGAUAACGCAGUCCUAGAGUAUGAAAAUUGGAUGGCAAUACAGAGCACUGAUGUCACUGGUGAAAAAUGUGGUCAUCAUCCCAAUUCUUAAGAGUCUUCAUUUCAAUGGCGAAUGUGUAUGGCAAAGCAACAUAGCAACAACCAUAUGCCUUCCCCCAAAA